AUUGAACGCUGGCGGCGGGCCUAACACAUGCAAGUCAGACGGUAGCACAGAGGAGCUUGCUCCUCGGGUGACGAGUGGCGGACGGGUGAGUAAUGUCUGGGGAUCUGCCCGAUAGAGGGGGAUAACCACUGGAAACGGUGGCUAAUACCGCAUAACGUCGCAAGACCAAAGAGGGGGACCUUCGGGCCUCUCACUAACGGAUGAACCCAGAUGGGAUUAGCUAGUAGGCGGGGUAAUGGCCCACCUAGGCGACGAUCCCUAGCUGGUCUGAGAGGAUGACCAGCCACACUGGAACUGAGACACGGUCCAGACUCCUACGGGAGGCAGCAGUGGGGAAUAUUGCACAAUGGGCGCAAGCCUGAUGCAGCCAUGCCGCGUGUAUGAAGAAGGCCUUCGGGUUGUAAAGUACUUUCAGCGGGGAGGAAGGCGGUGCGGUUAAUAACCGCGCCGAUUGACGUUACCCGCGGAAGAAGCACCGGCUAACUCCGUGCCAGCCGCCGCAGUAAGAC
rnacentral:rRNA from 1 species